UUCCGGUUGAUCCUGCCGGAGGCUACCGCUAUUGGAGUUCGGUUAAGCCAUGCGAGUCGAGAGUCUUAGGGACUCGGCGUACCGCUCAGUAACACGUGGGUAACCUGCCCUAUGCUGGGGAAUAACCUCGGGAAACUGAGAAUAAUACCCCAUAGUUCACCACGCCUGGAACGGUGGGUGGAUGAAAGCUCCGGCGGCAUAGGAUGGGCCUGCGACGUAUCAGGUUGUAGGGGGUGUAACGUACCCUCUAGCCAUCAACGCGUACGGGUGUUGGGAGACAUAGCCCGGAGAUGGAUUCUGAGACACGAAUCCAGACCCUACGGGGUGCAGCAGGCGCGAAAACUUGGCAAUGCGAGCAAUCGUGACCAGGGAACUCCCAAGUGGCUGGGGUAAUACCCAGUUUUUUCUUGACUCUUCAAAGGUCUUGGAAUAAGGGGUGGGUAAGGACGGUGCCAGCCGCCGCGGUAAUACCGGCGCCUCAAGUGGUACUCGCUUAUAUUGGGCCUAAAACGUCCGUAGCCGGUCUGGUGCAUUCGUGGGUAAA
rnacentral:rRNA from 1 species